CGGCUCCUCGCAAGGCUGCAAAAAACCGCAUUUCCCAGCAGCGAGUGCGAGAUGCGGGCUCCAUGCGAAACUAUAAGUUCACCUUCAGUUGCUUAGUGGACUAAAAAUACAUAUUUAAUAAGGCGUUAAGCACUCGUUGUUCAGUCAGCAUGAACGGAGCGAUGCACAACGCGCCCACAGUAGUAGAUAUCAGCUUGAAGAGAGGACCCUCGGGUAAGAGCACUGGAAGGCAGCAGUCUCCAGGUUGUCCGGGCAGUCGGGGCUAUGUGCUGGGGACGUGAGUGCAGCCUGUGUCGGGCCUGUUCUGCCAGAAUGAACUUUAACAUAAUGCAUAAUUUAUGUCCCUGUGUUUUACGCGUAUGCAACGUACAGAAGCUCUUGAUUAGUCGGUCAUUUAACUUUCUGCUACAAGGGUUGAAAACUAUUAGGUUUGCAUUAGAUUUUAUUGUGUCACUUAAAGUUGGCUGGUGCUGCGGUAUUUCUUUAUAGUAUAGAGAAAGCAUAGUACGCAUUGAGUGAAAAGAGAAUAUGUUCAAGUUUCAUAUCUUUUGCAAUGGUUGCUCGUCUGUAUAUGGCCGUUGUGUCCCUAAUAUCGAAACUCAAUGUUUGUUACGUAGAGCUUCCUCGCUGUUAAGUAGCCAAAACCGAAUUUGUUGCUACUCUUUCUUUUAAAAAAACAUAUCCAUUAUUAAGUGUCAGAAAAGUAAGCGGUCAAAAGAUUUCAUUGCAUCUUACUGGGUUGUAACUGGCGGUAUUUUGUAUUUCUGAAGUGACGCUUCAGUAUUUAUUCCUGUGGAUUUCCACAGAAAUGAAAGUGAACUGCUCGCCUCCUGAGCUGGUGUGCAGAGCUCUACAGCACCAUGUAGGUGAUAUAGUUAAAAACAAGUAAUCUACUUCUCUAAGUUAAUCACCGCUAUUCAGUUAUGGGAAUAUAUUGAAUAAUUGAGGUUAUACAGUAAUGAGGUCGGGUUUCAUUCUGGAGGUUAUAUUUUUCUAUAUGCAGGACGUCAUAAGUCUGAAAAGAGGAGGCCAUUCUGGUUUGGAUUCAAAUGUUUCAGUAUUUCAGUCCAUCUUGGAGCAACUCAGCACUGCGUCCAGUUAGCGAAACAUCAGGGUUGAUGACGCUCUUAUCUGCGUGGACAUUGUUACGUGUGCCGCCUGAAACGACCAGCCUCUCAGUUUCAUUUGUGACAAGACUUCCCAACCAACUUGACAGAGCUUGAGCAAGUUUGCAAAUGGACAACAAUCGCACCAUUCCGUUGUGCGAAGUUAAGAGACAUAAAAAAAAAAUCAUAGCUGUCAUCGCUGUGAGAGGUGUUUUUACCAAGUAUUGACUUGGGGAAAGAAUACUUAUACAAUAAACAUUUUAAUUUUUUAUUUUUCUUCGCGGUUUUGGGUGAGAUUGAACUUCCUUCACCCAUCAAUUUAAAAAGUGUAUACAUCAUUGAAAGUUCAACACAAUGGGCCAUCUUUGGAAGAGUGUGCAUACUUCUACAAGGCACUGUAUAUUUAUGUGUUUGAUUGCAAGAGAGUCCUUAAGAGUUGCAAAAGAAAAUGCACUUUACAAACAGGCCGAAGUAGUCAUAGAAAUACAAUGAAUUGGAAAGGUCAGUAGUUCAUGUGGGUGAAGAAACAUAACCAGUCAAAAUGGAGCAAAAGAAAUUCGAUAUCUAUGUAGCCCAGUGGCACAAUAGCAGUGCAGAGCAAUGCUGUAUAAACAGUGGAUCUGUGGAUAAUUGUAGGAUCUUCAAAAUGUGCAUGGGGUAUAUGGACUGGACUAAUGAUAAAAUAGAAGAAGAAAUAAAUAAGGUUUCUGCCUUUCUUGUGAAGAAAUAUAUCUCGGCAAAGCCUUAAAGGAGCCUCUAUCAGUCUAAGGAGCCUAAUAUCUUCAAAGUGUCAAGUUU